UGCAGGUGAGUAAAUUUUGUAGCCUUACUAGUUCCCGUCGUUGAAAUUAAAUUUUUCAACAAUUUUGCCGGUAAUGGCUGUUUUCUAGUGAAAUCGACGUCCUGUAUAAUUUUUAUUAUUCGUUAUCGGUCGCUGUAGAAACAACAUCAAGCGAUUGAUUAAAAACGACGAACAUCAUCCGAUUCCCGGAUUCAAAUCGCUCGAAUCCGACGGAAAAAUAACAAUAUAUGGCAGGAAAAACUUCAACGAACAAAGCCUGGGAUCAACAGUUGCAACCAAGCAAUGCUGCUCCGUGUCUACGUUGAUAAUCAAUAUUUCACCAGGCACAUCAUCAUAAUAAAAUUGUAAUAAUUGCAAAAAUAAAAUAGAAUUCAAUGAAA